UGUCCAUCGAAUUUUCACGCUGUCUGGAGUAACAAUAGCUGAUUGCAAAGAAGAUGGUCGUACUGUACGGACUAAGAAAACACAAAUAGGAUACCGUCAAACACUGAAACGUACCAAAAAAUACAGAAAAUAAUAUAUUGAUGGAUUGCUUUGUAUGUAAUUUCGAUCAUUAAAAGAAAAAGAAAAAUAGGAGUAAAAAUUUACUCACAGAUAAUUUUGAAACUCAUCAUGAGGCAACUGGCUUCACUGCCAACACCAGCGCUGAGCACUUUCCUCAAUCUCGAGCAAGUGUUACACCAUCUUUGAGGAAUGAGCUUAAUGGCAAUACAAAUUUACUCGCAGUUUAAGUUGGAAUCGGUGUAAUAGGCAUGACUGUCAACACCAAUAUCCACUUACAUCCAUAUCUAGAAAGUGCUAUAACAUCGAUGAGCCCUGAGUUUAAAAGUCAUACAACAGAUAACCAAUAUUUAAUUAAAGAUGAAAAUGUUGACUGGGAAACACUCAUAGAGGAUAAUGAUUCUUACAACGUUGUGUUUAUUUAAAUAAUCUUUCAGUGGAAAUGUUGUAAUGUUAUUUAUAAAAAUGUUGCAAAAAAAAACAAGGGGAAAUAUC